UACAGAGGGGGCAAGCGUUGUUCGGAAUUACUGGGCGUAAAGGGCGCGUAGGCGGCCCGCUAAGUCGAACGUGAAAUCCCCGAGCUCAACCCGGGAACUGCGUCCGAUACUGGCAGGCUUGAAUCCGGGAGAGGGAUGCGGAAUUCCAGGUGUAGCGGUGAAAUGCGUAGAUAUCUGGAGGAACACCGGUGGCGAAGGCGGCAUCCUGGACCGGUAUUGACGCUGAGGCGCGAAAGCCAGGGGAGCAAACGGG
rnacentral:rRNA from 1 species